rnacentral:rRNA from 1 species
UUAAGCGACUAAGCGUACACGGUGGAUGCCCUGGCAGUCAGAGGCGAUGAAGGACGUGCUAAUCUGCGAUAAGCGUCGGUAAGGUGAUAUGAACCGUUAUAACCGGCGAUUUCCGAAUGGGGAAACCCAGUGUGUUUCGACACACUAUCAUUAACUGAAUCCAUAGGUUAAUGAGGCGAACCGGGGGAACUGAAACAUCUAAGUACCCCGAGGAAAAGAAAUCAACCGAGAUUCCCCCAGUAGCGGCGAGCGAACGGGGAGCAGCCCAGAGCCUGAAUCAGUGUGUGUGUUAGUGGAAGCGUCUGGAAAGGCGCGCGAUACAGGGUGACAGCCCCGUACACAAAAAUGCACAUGCUGUGAGCUCGAUGAGUAGGGCGGGACACGUGGUAUCCUGUCUGAAUAUGGGGGGACCAUCCUCCAAGGCUAAAUACUCCUGACUGACCGAUAGUGAACCAGUACCGUGAGGGAAAGGCGAAAAGAACCCCGGCGAGGGGAGUGAAAAAGAACCUGAAACCGUGUACGUACAAGCAGUGGGAGCACGCUUAGGCGUGUGACUGCGUACCUUUUGUAUAAUGGGUCAGCGACUUAUAUUCUGUAGCAAGGUUAACCGAAUAGGGGAGCCGAAGGGAAACCGAGUCUUAACUGGGCGUUAAGUUGCAGGGUAUAGACCCGAAACCCGGUGAUCUAGCCAUGGGCAGGUUGAAGGUUGGGUAACACUAACUGGAGGACCGAACCGACUAAUGUUGAAAAAUUAGCGGAUGACUUGUGGCUGGGGGUGAAAGGCCAAUCAAACCGGGAGAUAGCUGGUUCUCCCCGAAAGCUAUUUAGGUAGCGCCUCGUGAAUUCAUCUCCGGGGGUAGAGCACUGUUUCGGCAAGGGGGUCAUCCCGACUUACCAACCCGAUGCAAACUGCGAAUACCGGAGAAUGUUAUCACGGGAGACACACGGCGGGUGCUAACGUCCGUCGUGAAGAGGGAAACAACCCAGACCGCCAGCUAAGGUCCCAAAGUCAUGGUUAAGUGGGAAACGAUGUGGGAAGGCCCAGACAGCCAGGAUGUUGGCUUAGAAGCAGCCAUCAUUUAAAGAAAGCGUAAUAGCUCACUGGUCGAGUCGGCCUGCGCGGAAGAUGUAACGGGGCUAAACCAUGCACCGAAGCUGCGGCAGCGACGCUUAUGCGUUGUUGGGUAGGGGAGCGUUCUGUAAGCCUGUGAAGGUGUACUGUGAGGUAUGCUGGAGGUAUCAGAAGUGCGAAUGCUGACAUAAGUAACGAUAAAGCGGGUGAAAAGCCCGCUCGCCGGAAGACCAAGGGUUCCUGUCCAACGUUAAUCGGGGCAGGGUGAGUCGACCCCUAAGGCGAGGCCGAAAGGCGUAGUCGAUGGGAAACAGGUUAAUAUUCCUGUACUUGGUGUUACUGCGAAGGGGGGACGGAGAAGGCUAUGUUGGCCGGGCGACGGUUGUCCCGGUUUAAGCGUGUAGGCUGGUUUUCCAGGCAAAUCCGGAAAAUCAAGGCUGAGGCGUGAUGACGAGGUACUACGGUGCUGAAGCAACAAAUGCCCUGCUUCCAGGAAAAGCCUCUAAGCAUCAGGUAACAUCAAAUCGUACCCCAAACCGACACAGGUGGUCAGGUAGAGAAUACCAAGGCGCUUGAGAGAACUCGGGUGAAGGAACUAGGCAAAAUGGUGCCGUAACUUCGGGAGAAGGCACGCUGAUACGUAGGUGAAGUCCCUCGCGGAUGGAGCUGAAAUCAGUCGAAGAUACCAGCUGGCUGCAACUGUUUAUUAAAAACACAGCACUGUGCAAACACGAAAGUGGACGUAUACGGUGUGACGCCUGCCCGGUGCCGGAAGGUUAAUUGAUGGGGUUAGCGGUAACGCGAAGCUCUUGAUCGAAGCCCCGGUAAACGGCGGCCGUAACUAUAACGGUCCUAAGGUAGCGAAAUUCCUUGUCGGGUAAGUUCCGACCUGCACGAAUGGCGUAAUGAUGGCCAGGCUGUCUCCACCCGAGACUCAGUGAAAUUGAACUCGCUGUGAAGAUGCAGUGUACCCGCGGCAAGACGGAAAGACCCCGUGAACCUUUACUAUAGCUUGACACUGAACAUUGAGCCUUGAUGUGUAGGAUAGGUGGGAGGCUUUGAAGUGUGGACGCCAGUCUGCAUGGAGCCGACCUUGAAAUACCACCCUUUAAUGUUUGAUGUUCUAACGUUGACCCGUAAUCCGGGUUGCGGACAGUGUCUGGUGGGUAGUUUGACUGGGGCGGUCUCCUCCUAAAGAGUAACGGAGGAGCACGAAGGUUGGCUAAUCCUGGUCGGACAUCAGGAGGUUAGUGCAAUGGCAUAAGCCAGCUUGACUGCGAGCGUGACGGCGCGAGCAGGUGCGAAAGCAGGUCAUAGUGAUCCGGUGGUUCUGAAUGGAAGGGCCAUCGCUCAACGGAUAAAAGGUACUCCGGGGAUAACAGGCUGAUACCGCCCAAGAGUUCAUAUCGACGGCGGUGUUUGGCACCUCGAUGUCGGCUCAUCACAUCCUGGGGCUGAAGUAGGUCCCAAGGGUAUGGCUGUUCGCCAUUUAAAGUGGUACGCGAGCUGGGUUUAGAACGUCGUGAGACAGUUCGGUCCCUAUCUGCCGUGGGCGCUGGAGAAUUGAGGGGGGCUGCUCCUAGUACGAGAGGACCGGAGUGGACGCAUCACUGGUGUUCGGGUUGUCAUGCCAAUGGCACUGCCCGGUAGCUAAAUGCGGAAGAGAUAAGUGCUGAAAGCAUCUAAGCACGAAACUUGCCCCGAGAUGAGUUCUCCCUGACUCCUUGAGAGUCCUGAAGGAACGUUGAAGACGACGACGUUGAUAGGCCGGGUGUGUAAGCGCAGCGAUGCGUUGAGCUAACCGGUACUAAUGAACCGUGAGGCUUAACCUU